rnacentral:rRNA from 1 species
CCUACGGGUGGCAGCAGUGAGGAAUAUUGGUCAAUGGGCGCGAGCCUGAACCAGCCAAGUAGCGUGAAGGAUGACUGCCCUACGGGUUGUCAACUUCUUUUAUAAAGGAAUAAAGUGAGGCACGUGUGCCUUUUUGUAUGUACUUUAUGAAUAAGGAUCGGCUAACUCCGUGCCAGCAGCCGCGGUAAUACGGAGGAUCCGAGCGUUAUCCGGAUUUAUUGGGUUUAAAGGGAGCGUAGAUGGGUUGACAAGUUAGUAGCGCAACUCCGGAGCUCAACUUCGGAACUACUACUAAAACUGUUGGACUUGAGUGCAGGAGGGGCAAUCGGAAUUACUAGUGUAGCGGUGGAAUGCGUAGAUAUUAGGAGGAACACCAGUGGCGAAGGCGGAUUGCUAGACUGUAACUGACACUGAGGCACGAAAGCGUGGGGAGCAAACAGGAUUAGAUACCCGAGUAGUC